ensembl:lncRNA
CCGCCGCCGCCCAUUGGCUGCGGGGAACGGAAGAGGCGGGCGGAGAGGCAGGACGGGCGGGGGCGGGAGCCAAUAGGCGCGAGGGGGAGGUGGGCGGAAGUGGCGUCAUCGAAGCGCUUCCGGAAUGGCGGCCGUGAUGGAGGGAGGGGGGACGGAGCGCGGAGCGGAGCUGGAGACGGAGUCGGGGAUGGAGGUGGAGACGGGAACGGAGCCGGAGCCGGAGCCGGAGCCAGAACCAGAGCCAGGCCCGAGCGCGGGCCCCGUGCGGGCGGAGCUGCGCUUAGAGGAGGCGGACGUGCCGCACGAGGAGCAGCUGCUGCGGGAUCCCUUCUCCGUGCGCAGUUGGCUGCGAUACCUCCGCGCCCGCCAGGGGGCGCCCCGCGCCCGCCUCAACCUCCUCUACGAGAGGGCGCUGCGGGAGCUGCCCGGAAGGUGAGCGGGCGGGACUUCCGGUGUGGGCGGGACUUCCGGUGUGGACCGGACUUCCGGCGGGCGGAGCCUCUGGGGGUGGGGGACAGGAAGCACGUGGGAGUGGGCGGGGUUACAAAAUGGGGGUGUGGCUUCCGGGGGGGCGGGGCUUGAUAAAAGGGGGUGGGGUCAGCAUGGCGGACCCAUGGGUGCUCCUGGUGGUGGGGGGAUGGGGGCGUGCUGCAGCACCCAUGGGUGCCAGGGGGGUUGAGCACCCAAAGGUGCCCUGUGGGCGCUGUGUGGGUUUGUGGGUGUGGCCACAGCACCCACGGGUGCUCCCUGUUGAGGGACGGGUGCUCACGGGUAUGGUUGCAGCACCCAUGGGUGCUGGUGGUUGAGGUUUGGGUGCUCAUGGGUGUGGCUGCAGCACCCAUGGGUGCUCUUGGCCAUAGGUUCAGUGUUUACGGCCACGGUUACAGCACCCAUGGGUGGUCUUGGCCAUAGUUUGGGUGCUCGCUGAUGUGGCUGCAGCACCCAUGGGUGCUCAUGGUCAAGGUUUGGGUGCUUCUGGAUGCGGCUGCAGCACCCAUGGGUGUUUAUGGCCAUAGUUUGGGUGCUUGUGGAUGUGGCUGCAGCACCCAUGGGUGCUUAUGGCCAUGGGUUGGAUGUUUGUGGCCAUGGUUAUAGCACCCAUGGGUGCUAGGAGGACUGAGCACCCAAAGGUGCCCUGUGGGCGCUGUGUGGGUUUGUGGGUGUGGCCACAGCACCCACGGGUGCUCCCUGCCGAGGGAGGGGUGCUCAUGUGCGUGGUCGCAGCACCCAUGGGUGCUUAUGGUCAAGGUUUGGGUGUCGAUGUAUUUGUCUGGCUUACCCAUGGGUGCUCUUGACCAUGGUUUGGAUGCUUACAUAUGUGGCUAGAGCACCCAUGGGUGCUCAUGGUCAAGGUUUGGGUGCUCAUGGUCGGGGUGGCAGCACCCACGGGUGCUCGUGGUCGAGGUUUGGGUGCUCAUGGUCGGGGUGGCAGCACC